GAAAAGGAGCAAUCCGCUUUGAGAUGGCCUCGCGUCCGAUUAGCUAGUUGGUGAGGUAAUGGCCCACCAAGGCGACGAUCGGUAGCCGGACUGAGAGGUUGAACGGCCACAUUGGGACUGAGACACGGCCCAGACUCCUACGGGAGGCAGCAGUGGGGAAUAUUGCACAAUGGGGGAAACCCUGAUGCAGCGACGCCGCGUGGAGGAAGAAGGUCUUCGGAUUGUAAACUCCUGUUGUUGGGGAAGAUAAUGACGGUACCCAACAAGGAAGUGACGGCUAACUACGUGCCAGCAGCCGCGGCAAAACGUAGGUCACAAGCGUUGUCCGGAAUUACUGGGUGUAAAGGGAGCGCAGGCGGGAAGACAAGUUGGAAGUGAAAUCUAUGGGCUCAACCCAUAAACUGCUUUCAAAACUGUUUUUCUUGAGUAGUGCAGAGGUAGGCGGAAUUCCCGGUGUAGCGGUGGAAUGCGUAGAUAUCGGGAGGAACACCAGUGGCGAAGGCGGCCUACUGGGCACCAACUGACGCUGAGGCUCGAAAGUGUGGGUAGCAAACAGGAUUAGAUACCCUGGUAGUCCACACCGUAAACGAUGAUUACUAGGUGUUGGAGGAUUGACCCCUUCAGUGCC
rnacentral:rRNA from 1 species